CUUAUUACAUAGUAACAGUUUUUGCUUUAGGAAGUUUGCAACGAAAAAUCUUCUUCGAGUAGAAGCCAAUAUCUCAGUAUCUGAAGGUAGCAGGGCAAUCGUGCAACUUUAAGUCGAAUGAUGUUAGGUCCUGCUUGUUAGUUGGGCCUGCGUUCUGAUGACUUUGGAAAAAAGAUGACAUUUGAUUGGUGUGCCAACAAUUAUUGGGGAGGAGAUAUUGUUGAGUUGUUUUACUAUGGGUACAUUGCUAUCUUCCACUUCCAACUAAUGUGGUUUGCCCUUAUUAGUAGUAACCAAAGCCUCCUUAUUCCACACGCCUGUCUUUACCUAUCCAAAAUCUAAAGCUAGUUACGAAAAGAGUUCUAAAUGAGCUUCAGAUAUUUAGAUUUGGAUAGGCUUUUGUAGGAGCUGGCCUAUCAAAAAUGCAGGCUGCAUCCUCAAGCUCAAACUAAGCUCAACAUCAAACGACGAAUUGGGUUCAAGCUCAUUAAAAGUUUGAUUACUAGCUUCAUUUGCUCUAGAUUUUACUUUCUUAUACUUUGGAAGUGACUACUGUGUGUUGAGACAUAAUUAAACAAAUGAAAGUGUGCUCUAUCUAACUGCUCAAGGUAAGGCGAAAAACUCUUAAAGAAAUAUGCUUUAAGUUCUUCUCCUGCUCUGUUCCUGUUCUGGGCUAUUUAAAUAAAUAAAAAAUUUGAUGUUCUGGGCUGUAAUUAGCUGGCGUGAUAGAUCUCUUAUUUGCUUACACUUUUAAAAAUCACCUCGAUCAUUUGCAUAGGAAAUACGAGUAUGACAUCUACCUAUUCAACAAACUUUAUUUUAUUUGAAUAAGUAAAACGUUUAUUAAUGACCAAAAAAGAAACCCUCAGGGGUUGGCCUGGUGGCAAUUGACUUGAGCCUUGGGGUUUACUCCCUUUCAAGGUCUCAAGUUCGAAACCCACUGGGUGCAAACAAUUUCUGAGGGCCAUCGGACUGGGUAAAACCUGAAUUAACCGUGGUGCACUUGCGGGAAAUUCCUUGCCGAGGGCCUGUGCACCCCCGGGAUUAGUCGGGGCUCAAAGAGACUUGGACACCCGGUGCAAAUCAAAAAAAAAAAAAAAUGACCAAAAAAGAAAAAGGGAAAACACCCUGUAUAUAAGAGAGAGAGAGAUGAGGCAAAAAUAUGAUUACUGCUAAGAGCAUCAGCGUCAUAUAAUAAUACAUUGAGGAUCUCAAAUGUGCCACAGAAAUUUAGAAAACGACAAAAGUCCCAUAUGAUGUGAGAGAGACCUUUCAAUUUCUCAGAUGUCCUUCUAUUCCUUCACAAACUUCCAUAUAACUUUUUCUAAUUUCAGGAAAACAAAUAGAGAUGAACCCUGUUACUGCAGAGAAAGCUGCUGGCGUGGAGACAGAUCUAACGGAAGUGCUGAAUGCAUGGUACUCUGCAGGCUUUUACACUGGAAAGUAUCUUUCCGAGCAAUCAUAUUGGAAGAAGAGCCAUGGUUAACUUUGUUCUGAUCGGAUUUGGAAAUCAAAUGUUGCUGCUCUAUGAAAUAUUUCACUUUGUCACUGGCUCUAGUAACUGGGAGCGGUACCUAAUGUGGUCCUGUCAAAUUGACAAAAGAGGAUAUCAACAACUUAAUGUAUUGAUGUUAUCAAAACCUUUGCACACUGGAUUUGGAAGUUGUGAUGUAAGUUAUAGAUACAAAUAGAUGUUGUAUAGCCCUUCUGGUUGGUUGAUAUUUCGAAAUAUUGACAAAACUGCUUCUUGAUGAUAAUUUCCAGUGGUUAUGAACUCCAGCCUUUUCUCUUUUGCUCA